UCGCGACCCCAGGUCAGGCGGGAUUACCCGCUGAACUUAAGCAUAUCAAUAAGCGGAGGA
rnacentral:rRNA from 1 species